rnacentral:rRNA from 1 species
AGGGCACCACCAGGAGUGGAGCCUGCGGCUUAAUUUGACUCAACACGGGAAAGCUUACCUGGCCCGGACACUGGAAGGAUUGACAGAUUGAGAGCUCUUUCUUGAUUUGGUGGAUGGUGGUGCAUGGCCGUUCUUAGUUGGUGGAGUGAUUUGUCUGGUUAAUUCCGAUAACGAACGAGAUUCUACCCUGCUAAAUAAUUCGCCGAAUUUAUACUCCCGGUGUAACUUCUUAGGGGACCAUGUGGCGUUUAGUCACUGAAACUUAAUAAUUACCGGGCUGGGAUGGCCUUUAAUGGUCCGGGGUCCCCCCCCCCCUCCAUGAAAGGAAUCAUGUGGUGUUCUUCCUGAUUCACAAACUCUGUAAUCUUAAAAUAUUUUUCAUUCCAGGGAUGGAUUGAUUGAAAUUAUGCCCCUUGAACGACGAAUUCCUCCCAAAUAUUAAUCAUUCAUAAGCUGUUGAUUAAUUCCCUGCCUCUUUGUACACACACACCCGCCGCUACUACUAAUUGAAGGGUGGAU